rnacentral:rRNA from 1 species
UACGGGGGGAGCAAGCGUUGUUCGGAUUUACUGGGCGUAAAGGGCGCGUAGGCGGCGCAACAAGUCACUUGUGAAAUCUCCGGGCUUAACCCGGAGCGGUCAAGUGAUACUGUCGUGCUAGAGUGCGGAAGGGGCUAUUGGAAUUCUCGGUGUAGCGGUGAAAUGCGUAGAUAUCGAGAGGAACACCUGCGGCGAAGGCGGGUAGCUGGGCCGACACUGACGCUGAGGCGCGAAAAGCGUGGGGGAGCAAACAGG